GGGCUGGAGGGCAGGGAUGGUGUGAGAGCUCCUUCCUCGUCAUUUUACUCUGUCAGUAAGACAUGGAUGAGGUCUUGCAUCAGCUAGGAGGGGUCUGGAAACUUCUGAGUCAGGUCUUGUGCAGGGUGCUGGGGAUGAAAGGAUAAACAGGACAACAUCCUUGCUCUCCAGUAGCUACUGAUUUGAUGGGAAAAACCCACAGCCCAAGGGAAUAUAAUGGAAGGAGAGCCCACCUGAGAAUGAAGACAACACAGACAAAAGCACAGCUGAAUGGCAUGUAGAGAUACAGUGCGGGAGCUCCUGGAUGCACUGAUACCUGAAGCAAGACCUAUUCUUGGUCUCUUUUUUUGGUUACCUGAAGCAAACGUUUCCUUUACAAAAAAAUUGAAA
rnacentral:lncRNA from 1 species